CCUGCAGGCUACCGGAGUUGGAAUCUCGAGUCUGUGGUGGAUGACUGGCUGGAGAGCUACGAGCAGAAUCGAGACUUGAGCUUCCUAGAACUUUUCGACUUCUUCAUCCGAUCAGGUCUCGGGAUGCUGUGGACCUAAACCGAGUACGUCCUGAGCGGACUCCAGGCCGGACACGGAAAUCCGAACGUUUCAAGGGAGCAAGAGCAGAUACGGGGGCGGAGGCGCGGUGGCCAGUACAAGGUAGACGGGAUCCCUUCAACUGGAAGAGCGGGUUCGGGAACGAAAGAAAACAGGCUUGGGAGUCCGGAGUCUUGGCGGUUCUACUACUGGCUGCUGUGUGACCAGCUAGUCUUCCAGGAGACUCCAAUGACUUCACCAUUCCUUACUGGUCUGGUUACUUGAAGGAACUGGAGGUUGACAGAAGGCUGGAUACAGUCCCCGUCCCAUACGGGGCUCACCGUCUGACGUGGGACGGAGAACGGGCGUUAAAAUCCCAUUUUGCAGAUGAGGAAACUGAGGUACAGGGAAGUGGUUUGCCCAAGGUCACAGGAUUUGGACGGAGUUCCGUAUGACAUCAUCGCCGUACGCUGCAGCCCAGCGAGGUAAAAGGACGACAUCAAGCGUGGCUCGGUGCAGAGAGCACGGGCUUGGGAGUCGGAGGUCGUGGGUUUUAAUCCCACCUCCGCCAACCUGUCUGCUGUGCCA